rnacentral:lncRNA from 10 species
UCGGUUUUACUUUCUUUUUCUCUUGGAGCUGAGCUAUAAGACAACAGGACUGAACAGGGAGCCAACUGUUUCUUUGAACAGUAAAUCAGGAACACCAAUGGACCAAAAUGAACACAGUCACUGGGGGAAUCUGGAAGCUAAACCCCAGAGUUGCUACAAGAGACAUUGGCUCCUGUGAGUCCAGGUGGCUUCUAUAACUGCUCAAGAUGCCAUCUCCUUGCCCUGGGACCUCCCUAGGUGACAGUUUGCAGUGUUCCAUGAAUUGCUGCAUAGACUUCCACUAGGUGGAAGGCCCAACAUUGUCCCUCUGGCAAGCGAAGUUUUCCAUUCUUCUGAGUAGACUAGUGUCCCAGUGAGGCCCAUGGCAGUCCUGUGAGCCCGAGAGGUCAUUUGAACCAGCUAAGAACAAGACCACUGGUGGGCAUUGCAGCACCUAACCCUAAAUCAUAUCAUUGCUAGGAGGAGUAAAUUAGGUAAUGCAGGUAAACCACUUGGAACAGAUCCUGGCACAUUAAAAGUGCUCAAUAAAGGGUAGAUUUCACUAACUAUUUAGGUGACUUUGUCCAAGUUACUUAACCCCUGCAUGCAAGUUACUUCAUCUAUAAGGAGGUUGCUAUAAACAAUCCUAGCCUAAUUUUCACCAAGUGCUUAAGUGCACCAGCACUCUUUUAAGUUCUUUACAUAUAUUAACUUAUUUAGUCAUUAGAACACCACCACAUGGAGUAAACCAUCAUCUUCUCCAGAUGAAGAGAAAUUAAUCAGUUGUCCAAGAUCAUAUGACUAGCAAUGGAAAGACAAUCUAAACUAAGCAAUCCAGCUCCAGAUUCUUUUUUUCUUCACCACUGCAUGCUGCCUCUCAGAAAGCUCAUUUUCUUUGUACAGUCUAAGUUCCUUCUAAGCUCUGAUAUUCUGUGGUCAAUGUAGACUUUCCUUCUCCAACUUUCUCUCUGCAACAUGAGAGUAAGGAACAGCUAAACCGCAAAAGGCAAUGAGCUUAGCAGGAGAGUCUUAGUUUGUUUGGAUAUUCCCUCCAGAAAGAUUCUCCUGUUAUCAUGGUAUUCCGUUUCACUCAUAUAGGUCAAAUGUUCCUCCCUUACAGUAAAGGAAUCAAGGGGUUAACCCUCAAGAGCCAGAGUCACCCUUGCCUUGCAAGUUAAAUCACUCCUCUCUCCACUACAAAGCUGCAUCUUGGUUCUUCCAUGAACCUGCCCUAGACAAGUCAUUCUUAUCACUGCCAUGUGGACCAGCGAAAUGGCACCAUGGCUCCUAUGCCUUCCCCUUUUAUGUGUCUGAAACACAUUUUUUCCCUAAAGCCUCAAGCUCCUUCAUACCUCUGUCCCCAUUCACUCCUCUCCCCAGAACCUUACCCACGUUGAAGGGAAAUGGGGAAGGAGAGAGGAAAGUUUACCAUAUUCUGUGACUAUUUUAUACCAAAAUUAUGCCAUGCUUUCUAAGCAAAAUUAUGAUAUCCUUUAUAAGAUAUCAGUUGUUUCUUCACUAAUAAAAAUAAUUUUACACUGCUCAUUCUAAUAUUUUGCUGGUCCAGCCACUUCCCUGGUAGUCAUGACCCCACUCUGCCCAGCCAAGGUCAAAGUAGCAACCUCUGGCCUUGAAACAGAGCCAGGUCACUUGGCCCACAUUGAGAUGGAACCCAUGGCCUUGCCUACGCAUCUCUGAUCUCCAGAAAACUUUUCUUCUAGAGAUCCAGGACUGAGUGAUUCAGGCAACCAUUACAUGAUGAGAAAUGUCUCUAAAUCCAUCUCAUCCCCAAGUAUGUUUUCCUAGGCUCCAACAUGGCAAUACCCUGCAGUCCUACAGCAAUCAAGUUAGCUUUCAUUUCACGUGAAAUAGAUGUGCGAGUAUCUUUUUAC